AUUCUUACCUGGCAGGGGAUAUAAUGAUCAAGAAGGUGGUUCACCCAGGGCGAGGCUUCCCAUUGCACUCCGGCUGUGCUGACCCCUGCAAAUUCCCCAAAUGUGGGAAUCUUGACUGCAUAAUUGCUGGUAGUGGGGGACUGCAUUCGUGCUGAUGGCUU